CUCCCCCUUAAAUGUGCUCUGAUCACCGUCCUGAAUGCUGUUCCUAAAUGAGGAAGAGCAGCUGUGUUGCAGGGUGGGAUGGGGGACUGGGAGAGCAAAUACAUUAAUCCAUUUUGAGUAUGUUUUAAAAUUGAUUUUUCUAAAAUGCCAGAGUUGUUUUUAUAAAUAUGCCUUCUAGAAUAUCUAAAAUAGAAGCCUUUGCUAUUGAUUGUUUUGUGAUGCUUCAUGUUAUAUUCAGAAUUAAGUAGUUCCAGAAAUACAUUUAUGCAGGCAGAAUACAGGGUGGAAAAUGAACAAAAUGUGAAAAACAGAUCUGUGAACACUUUAUUAUUAAGCAUUUAAUAAAUACAGGAUUUUCGUUUGGAGGUGGGGGAGGAAGGAAGUGGGUAGCAGUUGUGUUUGGUAUGUUUUUUGGUAAGUCAGCCUCUUGCCUGAUUUGAUAACUGUAAAUAGCUUUGAGAUUUGACAAAUUCAGUUUUUAAAAGCUAAGAGGAAUGUACGGUGAGAUCUACGUUUAAGAUUUGAAUGGUCUGUAAGUUUGGGCCAAAUUCUUUUUUCUAUAUAACUGGGAUGUUGAAAACUAUUAUUUGAUGAUCUCGGAGGCAAACAUUAUAGCUGAAAUAAAAAUGAAAGAAACUGGAAUCAAAACUUAGGUCCUCCCUGUUUUUCAUUGUUGUGUAAUACAGGCUUUAAGGCUAAUGAGGGGGAGGAAAGCUGCCCUCUGGGUAAUCACAGUUUGUGUACAGUUUUAGGAGAGGGACUCCACCUUUCAGGCUUACAGUACAAAUGUCUCGCAACCCAAAACUAUUGUUCUAUCGCUGGGUGGAGAAUUUAGCCACAUACAAACAUUUGCAAGCACUCCCAUUUAGACUUUUAACCUUUUAUUGUGGCUUUAAUUCUCCAAGGAGUAGUAAAGAAGAUGAUAAGGGAAGGAGGGGGGAAAUCAAAAUGAAUCUUAAAAUUGGUAUUGAGAGGAAAGAACGAAUUCUCCAUCCGCCUGAGCCCUCUCCAUCCUGCCUCCCUGUCUGUGUGCAUGCGGUUGUGUGUGAGAGUGCGUCUGAGCGGUUACACCAGUGAAGAACACUCUGAUUGUGAGGGGUAUUGAUUGCACCUGUGGGAGGUCUGGGCCUUGUUCACCUAUAUGUGUUUCAUAAGCCAGCUAGAGAGUUUAGGAAUAGAACAGUAGAUGCUACUAUCAUUAUGUUUAUGCUUGAUACUUUGUGAAAUGCUUACAACCCCCUUUUUCACUUUUUCUGUCCUGUUCUAGAAUGAAGGCAGUUUAAUUAGCCUCCAAGAUGGAUAUUGCAGGACUGGAGGCAAGGGCAGUGCAUAGGAAUGACUCCUGGGCCCAGCACUGUGCACAUCUCUCUGUGUUCAAGGGACAAAACUACAGCAAAGUGUCAGAUCAUUCUUGGUGUAAAGAGGGGAAGAACGGUGAUGUAUAAAUUGCUGCUGUGUGCAUAGGACUGAAUUUGGAUGGUCCAGAAGCACUGUGGUAGGAAAUACAGAUUUUCCUCUGACAGCUUGGUGAGAACUAGACGUGACAUUGAGCCAUCUAAACACUGGAUGAAGAGACCUAAGAAAAAAUACAGUGGAGGAAAACAGUCCUGACGAUUUAGAGUACGUAGAACAGUAAUCCUAAGGAGGCAGUAAUUCCUUAAUUUUUAAAUCCAGUUUCUAAAAUAUGUCCAGAUCAGGUGUUCCUGAGCUGAAAAAAAGCCCCACAUUUUACUAUUUGUUAUAGGUAUUUGCAUUUGAUUUUU